GGGGGGGGCGGGGGGCGGGCGUGGGGGAGGGGAGGCGGGGGGCGGCGGGGCGGUAGCGCGACGGUGGCGGGCGACCGGCAAACGGGUGCGGAACACGUACGCAACCCACCCAACACUGGGGGAUCGCCCGGGGACACCCGGCUUAAUACCUCGGAACCUUUUUCCGUGGCAUCCCUUGCACAGUAUAGCUCCGGCGGUUUGGGCUGGGCGUGCGCCUGCUUAGUGAGGUGGUGCGGGUAACGGCCCACCAAGCCUGCGAUCAGUAACUGGUGUGAGAGCACGACCAGUCACACGGGGACUGGGACACGGGCCCGACUCCUACGGGAGGCAGCAGUAAGGAAUAUUGGUCAAUGGACGCAAGUCUGAACCAGCCAUGCCGCGUGAAGGAUGAAGGUCCUCUGGAUUGUAAACUUCUUUUAUGGGGGACGAAACCCGGAUAUUCUUAUCCGAUUGACGGUACCUCAGGAAUAAGCACCGGCUAACUCCGUG
rnacentral:rRNA from 1 species